rnacentral:rRNA from 1 species
CCUACGGGAGGCAGCAGUGAGGAAUAUUGGACAAUGGACGCAAGCCUGAACCAGCCAUGCCGCGUGCAGGAAGACGGCUCUAUGAGUUGUAAACUGCUUUUGUACGAGGGUAAACGCAGAUACGCGUAUCUGUCGGAAAGUAUCGUACGAACAAGGAUCGGCUAACUCCGUGCCAGCAGCCGCGGUAAUACGGAGGAUUCAAGCGUUAUCCGGAUUUAUUGGGUUUAAAGGGUGCGUAGGCGGUCGGAUAAGUUAGAGGUGAAAUCCCGGGGCUCAACUUCGGAAUUGCCUCUGAUACUGUUAGGCUAGAGUGUAGUAGCGGUAGGCGGAAUGUAAGGUGUAGCGGUGAAAUGCUUAGAGAUCGUGCAGAACACCGGUGGCGAAGGCAGCUUAC